UUCGGACUGGAGUCUGNAACCCGACUCCACGAAGUUGGAUUCGCUAGUAAUCGCGCAUCAGCCAUGGCGCGGUGAAUACGUUCCCGGGCCUUGUACACACCGCCCGUCAAGCCAUGGGAGCCGGGGGCGCCUGAAGUCCGGGACCGCGAGGACCGGCCUAGGGCGAAACUGGUAACUGGGGCUAAGUCGUAACAAGGUAUC
rnacentral:rRNA from 1 species